rnacentral:rRNA from 1 species
AUUGAACGCUGGCGGCAGGCCUAACACAUGCAAGUCGAACGAGUGGCGGAAGGGUGAGUAAUGUCUGGGAAACUGCCUGAUGGAGGGGGAUAACUACUGGAAACGGUAGAUAAUACCGCAUACCAUCGGAUGUGCCCAGAUGGGAUUAGCUAGUCGGUGGGGUAAAGGCUAACCUAGGCGACGAUCCCUAGAUGGUCUGAGAGGAUGACCAGCCACCGUGGAACUUAGACACGGUCCAGACGCCUACGGGAGGCAGACGUGGGGAAUAUUGCACAAUGGGCGCAAGCCUGAUGCAGCCAUGCCGCGUGUAUGAAGAAGGCCUUCGGGUUGUAAAGUACUUUCAGCGGGGAGGCGUUACCCGCAGAAGAAGCACCGUCUAACUCCGUGCCAGCAGCCGCGGUAAUUC